rnacentral:rRNA from 1 species
CCGGGCGACCGGCGCACGGGUGAGUAACACGUAUGCAACCUGGCCGUGACAGAUGGAUAACCGGGAGAAAUCCCGCCUAAUACAACAUAAUGCCGGGAGGGGACAUCCCCUGCCGGUCAAAGGGGGCGACCCCGGUCAUGGAUGGGCAUGCGGCGCAUUAGGUAGUUGGUGGGGCAACGGCCCACCAAGCCGACGAUGCGCAGGGGUUCUGAGAGGAAGGUCCCCCACAUUGGAACUGAGACACGGUCCAAACUCCUACGGAAGGCAGCAG